AUACUGAAAUGCAUGGUGGGAAAUCAGUGUGAAAUUCAUUGGCUGUACCUGCAACCGUAAAGUCGGAGCGCCACCCAGUAA
ncrna:unclassified sequences AdoCbl variant RNA